CUUCCACCUUUAUAUAAACCCCUUCACAAAUCACAGUUCUUCUCACUUAUUAUCGAAUUUUCACUGUUUCAUCAAUUAUGGCAACACCAACGAAAUUAGAUUUCUGGGGGGUUUUAUCAGAAUCAAGAAAGAUAAUGAAAUCCCAUUCCCGCCAUUUCUUAGCUCUCUCGGUUCUGUUCCUCCUUCCAAUUUCUUUCUCCAUAGUUGCUUUCCACACUUUUCAACUCACUAUAAACAGACCUGAACCUAAACAACCCGAAUCGUUGCUCCGAUUCACUCUAAAUCGCCACGAAGAUAAACUUCCUAACCCUAGAUUUCUUGUUUUUUCUUCGAUUUACGGUUUUGUUGUACUGGUUUUAUCAUUAUGUGCUACUGGUACGAUUACUUACAGUGUUUACCAUGGAUUUUUCGGACGACCUGUGAAAUUGAUUUCUGCUAUUAAAUCAUUAUUGAACUCGUUGUUACGACUUUUUACAACGGUUGUGAGUUCUUUGAUUGUUGUGGUUUCGAUUUCUGUUUUUGUUAGUCUUGUUUUGUUCGUUAUUAUAUUGGUAAUCGAACAAUUAGGGUUUGAGAUUUCCCAUUAUACUGAGAAUUUUAGUGUGUUUUGUGUAAUUGGUACAGUGGUUUUGGGGUUGGUUGUGUUGUAUUUGCUAGUGAAUUGGUCUUUAGCGUUUGUAAUUGUUACGAUCGAGUCGAGCUGGGGUUUUGAUCCUUUGAUGAGGAGUAAAGGUCUGGUGAAAGGAAUGAGAUGUGUAUCUUUAUCGCUUUUGUUGUUUUAUGGUUCAAUACUGAGUUUGAUAGUGUGGCUUGUUUGGAAGUUUGAAUUGGGUGAUGGUGUCGUGGAUGGGGCUAUAUUUGUUUUUCUGACUGUUCUAGCGUCGGCUUGUUUAAUGGCUAUGAUGCUUAACUGUAUAGCGUCAUAUGCUGUUCUGUAUAUGUAUUGUAAAGCUUUACAUGGAGAACUUGCUUUGGAGAUUGCCGAGGAGUUUUCAGGGGAUUAUGUUAGCUUGCCGUUUGAUGAGGAGAAAGUCCCUUACGUUGUAACUGUCCUACAAUAACCUUGAUAUACAUGAGGGCUCCGGUUUAUUAAUUCUGAUUAGUGGGUUAAAAAUUGCGCAGAGCAUCUCUAUUUGACUUCAUUGUUAUGCUAUAUCCACAUUCCACGUUGUCUGCCUGCAAGUAUUUCGUGAGUUGCUCCAUUUUUCCAAGAAAAUUCUGAUUGAUGAACGCCGUUCCUGAACUCUCUCAAACUGAACUGUCAAGUAAAAAAUCUAACAGAUGAAGGUAUUCCUGUUCGAUUGCUCUAUUUCAAGGCUGAAGCUGAACCUUUCACUAGUCAAACUUUUGACAGAUUAACGGGGCGAAAUCAGUAAAGAAAUUACCUGUAUAUUUACUCUUUUUGUAAUAGUGAUACGUCGGGUAAUCCCUGCUUUUAUUUCGAGUGUAUUUGUGUGUAAAACCCGCCAUUGUAACAAAAUAAAACUUGGAUUGGUCAGAAAUGAUCUUCACUUCUUAAUGAUUCUUUUAUUAUUUUCUUAACUGUUUUUCUUUGUAACCCUAAUUCUAUGUAUUAAAAACUGGGUGUGUA